CACGGAGUUAGCCGAUCCUUAUUCCUACGGUACACUCAGGCAGCUACUCGUAGCUGCGGUUGUUCCCGUAUAAAAGCGGUUUACGACCCGUAGGGCCUUCGUCCCGCACGCGGCAUGGCUGGUUCAGGCUUCCGCCCAUUGACCAAUAUUCCCUACUGCUGCCUCCCGUAGGAGUCUGGUCCGUGUCUCAGUACCAGUGUGGGGGAUUCUCCUCUCAGAGCCCCUAGGCAUCAUCGCCUUGGUGCGCCGUUACCGCACCAACUAGCUAAUGCCACGCGAGCCCAUCCAUGUCCUAUAAAUAUUUGGAUACCUCCCGAUGCCGGAAAUAUCUUCAUGCGGUGUUAAUCCGUCUUUCAACGGGCUAUCCCCCUGACAUGGGCAGGUUGCUCACGCGUUACGCACCCGUGCGCCACUCUCAUGUCCCUUAGCAAGCUAAGAACAAUCCCGUACGCCUUGCAUGUAUUAGGCCUGCCGCUAGCGUUCAUCCUGAGCCAGGA
rnacentral:rRNA from 1 species